UAGGGAAUCUUCCGCAAUGGGCGAAAGCCUGACGGAACAACGCCGCGUGAGUGAUGAAGGUCUUCGGAUCGUAAAACUCUGUUAUUAGGGAAGAACAAAUGUGUAAGUAACUAUGCACGUCUUGACGGUACCUAAUCAGAAAGCCACGGCUAACUACGUGCCAGCAGCCGCGGUAAUACGUAGGUGGCAAGCGUUAUCCGGAAUUAUUGGGCGUAAAGCGCGCGGCGGCGGUUUUUUAAGUCUGAUGUGAAAGCCCACGGCUCAACCGUGGAGGGUCAUUGGAAACUGGAAAACUUGAGUGCAGAAGAGGAAAGUGGAAUUCCAUGUGUAGCGGUGAACUGCGCAGAUAUAUGGAGGACCACCAGUGGCGAAGGCGACUUUCUGGUCUGUAACUGACGCUGAUGUGCGAAAGCGUGGGGAUCAAACAGG
rnacentral:rRNA from 1 species